GGGGAAUUUUCCGCAAUGGGCGAAAGCCUGACGGAGCAAGACCGCGUGAGGGAGGAAGGCUCUUGGGUUGUAAACCUCUUUUCUCAGGGAAGAAAAAAAUGACGGUACCUGAGGAAUCAGCCUCGGCUAACUCCGUGCCAGCAGCCGCGGUAAUACGGAGGAGGCAAGCGUUAUCCGGAAUUAUUGGGCGUAAAGCGUCCGCAGGUGGCUCGCUCAAGUCUGCUGUCAAAGACCGGGGCUUAACUCCGGAAAGGCAGUGGAAACUGACAAGCUAGAGGGCUCUAGGGGUAGAGGGAAUUCCCAGUGUAGCGGUGAAAUGCGUAGAUAUUGGGAAGAACACCGGUGGCGAAAGCGCUCUGCUGGGCCUGCACUGACACUGAGGGACGAAAGCUAGGGGAGCGAAAGGGAUUAGAUACCCCUGUAGUC
rnacentral:rRNA from 1 species